AUUGAACGCUAGCGGGAUGCCUUACACAUGCAAGUCGAACGGAGUGGCGAACGGGUGAGUAAUGUAUCGGAACGUGCCCAGUAGCGGGGGAUAACUACGCGAAAGCGUAGCUAAUACCGCAUACUAUUGGAGCGGCCGAUAUCGGUUUAUCUAGGUGGUGGGGUAACGGCUCACCAAGGCGACGAUCCGUAGCUGGUUUGAGAGGACGACCAGCAACACGGGAACUGGCACACGGCCAAGACUCCUACGGGAGGAAGCAGGGGGAAAUUUUGGACAAUGGGGGAAACCCUUAUCCAGCCAUCCCGCGUGUGCGAUGAAGGCCUUCGGGUUGUAAAGCACUUUUGGCAGGAAAGCGGUACCUGCAGAAUAAGCACCGGCUAACUACGUGCCAGCAGCCGCGGUAAUUC
rnacentral:rRNA from 1 species